GAUUAACGCUGGCGGCGUGCAUAACACAUGCAAGUCGAACGAAGUGGCGGACGGGUGAGUAACGCGUGAGUAACCUGCCUUAGAGAAGGGGAUAGCCUUUGGAAACGAAGAAUAAUACCCUAUGCUCUAAGAUGGACUUGCGUCUGAUUAGUUAGUUGGUGGGGUAACGGCCCACCAAGACAGCGAGCAGUAGCCGGCUUGGGAGAAUGUACGGCCACAUUGGGACUGAGAGACGGCCCGGACUCUACGGGAGGCAGCAGUGGGGAAUUUGGCACAAUGGGGGAAACCCUGAGGCAGCGACGCCGCGUGAUUUAGAAGGCCGUCGGGUUGUAAAAAUCUUUUCUAUGGAAGUCAGUACCAAAGGAAUAAGGACCGGCUAAUUACGUGCCAGCAGCCGCGGUAAUUC
rnacentral:rRNA from 1 species